rnacentral:lncRNA from 1 species
ACUUCCUGUGAUAACGAUAUCAUCCACAUAUACUACAAGCAGAAUUACUCCACUAUCAGAAUUUAUAUAAAACACUGAGUGAUCACACUUACUCAUCUUCAUUCCAAACUGUUGGACCACCUCACUAAACCUGCUAAACCAUGCCCGAGGACUCUGUUUCAAGCCAUAAAGCGAUUUUUGAAGUCUACAAACUUUACCUGACUCCCCCUGAGCAACAAAACCAGGUGGUUGCUCAAUAUAAACCUCCUCCUGAAGAUCACCAUGAAGAAAAGCAUUUUUAAUAUCCAGUUGAUGCAAAGGCCAAUAAUGAGUAGCCGCCAAGGAAAUAAACAAUCGGACAGAUGUGAGCUUGGCAACUGGGGAGAAUGUAUCAGAAUAGUCAACUCCAUAAGUUUGUGCAUAACCUUUGGCCACUAAACGGGCCUUGAGGCGAGCAAUAGAUCCAUCAGGAUUUACUUUCACUGCAAACACCCAUUUGCACCCAAUAGCCC